GGGGAGAAGUAUAAUAUAAGUUGAUACAGGUAUUGCUAACUAUGUUGUUGUCUGUUAGCUUGUAUGUUUUGUAGAAAAGCCAAAGCUGCCUUUAAAAACUUGAAUUUUUGAUCAUCAUUAAAAAGGGGGAGAUUGUUACUAAUGAGGAGCAUUGGCAAAUCCUUAAGUAAAUGUUUUUUAUGAUGCUUCAAGAAAUUUAACCUGAAGAAGAUAUUAGAAAUUUUUUAAAAGCACUUUAUAGAAUAUAAAUG
rnacentral:lncRNA from 1 species